rnacentral:rRNA from 1 species
UACAGAGGUGGCAAGCGUUGUUCGGAAUUACUGGGCGUAAAGUGUGCGCAGGCGGCCAUGCAAGUCGAGUGUGAAAGCCCCGGGCUUAACUUGGGAAUUGCGCUCGAAACUACGUGGCUGGAGUGUGGCAGAGGAAGGUGGAAUUCCACGUGUAGCGGUGAAAUGCGUAGAGAUGUGGAGGAACACCAAUGGCGAAGGCAGCCUUCUGGGCCAACACUGACGCUCAUGCACGAAAGCGUGGGGAGCAAACAGG